GGUUGCAGUUCUUAGAGUACUUGAAUGAGCCUGAAAAUGAUGUUGCAACUGGCUUGCUGGCUUGCUUUUGUUUUCUACCAUGUAGAUUAUUGAUGAAAUGGGUUCUAAGUUAUGUGUUUGGUCAAAUGCCUAAAUGAAGUUUUAUUUUGGUCAUUUUAUUGUUGUGUUGCCUUUGUUUUCUGUUGGUUGCUCCACCUGCAGAAUUCUAUUUUCCUUAUUUUGCUUCCUUUGUUUGUUUUUUUUUCCUUGAUUUUUCCUAUUUUCAGUUCUAGCUGAGUUUUGUAGCUGCUAUGGUCUUCCAUUUUUAUGCAGGGUUGAUCACUUGAUCCAAUGGUUAGGUUGGUAAGAUGUUGCCACCGUGGUUCAAUUCUAUUUAACUUGGAUAUCUAUGCAUUUAUGGUUUCCUUGGUUUGCUUUUUUUUUUUUUCCCUUAAUUUUUCGAGUUUCCAAUUCCAGCUGAGUUGGCCACCUGCUAUGGUCUUCCAUUUUUUCGCAGUAUUGAGUCAAUGGUUAGGUUGGUAAGAUGUUGUCGCCGUGGUUCAAUUAUAUUUAAUAUGUAUGCAUUUAUGGUUAUUUUGUUUGGUCAUCAUAAAACCAAGUUAGCAUCAAUAAUGAAAUGUUGUUUCUGUUCUCUUAUGAUCUUAUUUGUGAACUUUUGGGGUUGUUGAUGUUGGCAUUUGAACAGGAUCAAGAAAAUUGGAAGAUAGGUAACAUGUGGUCAUGUACAUUGUUGGCUUGCUUUUGUUUUCUUCCAUGUAUAUUGUAUGUGUUUGGUCAAAUGCCUAAAUGAAGUUUUAUUUUGGCAAUUUUAUUGUUGUGUUACAUUUGUUUCCUGUUGGCUGCUCCACCUGCAGAAUUCUGUUUUCCUUAUUUUGCUUCGUCGGUUUGUUUUUUUCCUUAGUUUAACGUGUUUUCAGUUCCAGUUGAGUUUGCCAGCUGCUAUGGUCUUCCAUUUCUAUGCAGGGUUGACCCAAUGGUUAGGUUGGUAAGAUAUUGCCGCUGUGGUUCAAUUAAAUUCAAUUAUAUUCGAUCCAACGUAUAUAAUAAAAGAGAAUGCCAUAGAAAACCCUAAAAUGUCCAUGGUUGAGAGCUUGACAUGUGGCACUUUUGUUGGGUUUUUGGUGAUUUUACCCCUGUAGCUUUGUGGUUGUUUAUGUUGCCAUUUAAACAGGAUCAAGAAAAUCGGUAACAAAGUAUCAUGUGGUCAUGCCUGGUGGGGAAUCACAUUAUGAGCGAGCACUACACGUUACAAUUUAUUGCCGCAUUCCACAACGACAAGGACUAUAUAAAAAUACCAGCAUCCUAUCAUGAACAGUGGCCACCCCACUACCCGGACUUUGCCCGCUUUGACUAUAACGAGGCCUCAUACCAGAUAUGACUCAGACAGGAUCGAGGAAGAUUGUUCUUUGCUUAUGGCCUCAAACACCUGAGAAAACACUUAGGCAUCUACGAGUCAGUAACCAUCAACUUUAUGGCAUGUGAACACAGAUGGAUUUUUAACCUCCAUUUCACUCCUCCGCUGGAACAACAAGCAUGCGGCAGAUCCCUACUAGCAGCUAGAAUGCAUGUCUGGACUCUUGAACUCACACAGUCCUUGCUUGGUGAUCCUAAACCAUUGGUGCUUCCACCUCUUGCAACAAUACAUCUUCCUUCUUGUGGUUUUCAUAUGACGAUUUUAAGAAGGUUCGACCCUCCAUUGCAAUGGCCUGUCCUUCCAGUUGACCUUGGCUUUCAUGACAAGUGUGUUGCCCAACCAUGGUACCGGUUUCUCGCUGAAGGUGAUUUUGUGCAUGGAGACGAGCUUUCAUUCUACUAUAGGCCUUUUGACGAUAUUUGGGAAGUAGUUAUUAGGAAACAAAGAAAUUGGGGUGACAGUGAUAGUGACUGAAUUUUAAUUUCUGCUUUGUCAGUUUAUAAAACAUGUUUGGUUAAUUUUGAUGCUCAAUGCUACCUGAA